ACAGAACAGACAUUGUGACAUAUAUCUAGGCAAAUUGCCUAGAAGUGAAUCCCCUCUCCUGCUUAAGUCCUUCCCACAGAGAGCGGUUUGAUAUGUCACUGAAACCAGCAUCCAGGUGAUGUGGUAUUGCUCCAUAUGCCUGAGACCCUAACAAAAGCCUAAUUACAACUCAUAUGCCUGGAGCCAGGACAUGUGCAGGAUGCCAUGAUGGUCCAAGUUAUAUUGGGAUUCAGCCAAUAGAAGAUAUUUUGCCUGUCAUCCCUAAGCUUAGGACAAUAGGGUCCUGCCCACAAGAAAGAUUGUGACAUCUCACUGGACAAGCACCCACCCAGACUCUGCCAAGAGAGGGGAUUAUUACAUAUUGCAGAGCCCAGCACCUAGGUGGAGUGACUCUCAUCUUUUUCUUCUACCCCGUAUAUAGCCAGCUUGGUGACCUACUAUUUGAGUCUAUACCCAGGCCCAGACCACAGAUGAAAUUGUGCAAUAUGUGGAACAAACACCUAAACAAUAUAUAACACCUUCCUUGGCUCUGUCUACAAAGGGCACUUUUAUAUAUCACUGGGACCAUCAACCAGGUGAUGUUAAUUAUCUUCCUGAAACCUGUCUACAAAGAGAGUUGUGUCGUAUACCUAGGCCCGUCAUGUAAGUGAUGUCAGUCCCUUCUACUGCCUUGGCCCUGCACUUACAGUGCAUUGUGACACAUAACAAGGUACUGCACACAGACGAUGUGAUUCUCCUUUUUGGGUUCUGCCAAAAGGAAGCAUUGUAAUAAAUCGCUUGGCUCAGUA
rnacentral:lncRNA from 1 species